AGUGAACGCUGGCGGCGUGCCUAACACAUGCAAGUCGAACGAUGAUGGAGAGCUUGCUCUCCUGAUUAGUGGCGCACGGGUGAGUAUACCAUAGAUAAUGUACCCCUUAGUUCGGGAUAGCCACUGGAAACGGUGAUUAAUACCGGAUACUCCUUCUCACUAUAAGAUGAGUCGGGAAAGUUUUUUCGCUAAGGGAUCAGUCUAUGUCCUAUCAGCUAGUUGGUGAGGUAAUGGCUCACCAAGGCUAUGACGGGUAUCUGGUUUGAGAGGAUGAUCAGACACACUGGAACUGAGACACGGUCCAGACUCCUACGGGAGGCAGCAGUGAGGAAUAUUGCACAAUGGAGGAAACUCUGAUGCAGCAACGCCGCGUGGAGGAUGACGCAUUUCGGUGUGUAAACUCCUUUUAAGAGGGAAGAUUAUGACGGUACCUCUUGAAUAAGCACCGGCUAACUCCGUGCCAGCAGCCGCCGUAA
rnacentral:rRNA from 1 species